GGUUGCCUAGGGCUGAGAGGGGUUUCAAGGAAGUGGAGAAAAUGGGAAAAGAUUGCUAAUGAGUGCAAGGUUUCUUUUAAGGAGCAUAAAAAUGUUCUAAAAUUAUAUUGUGAUUGUUUAUCCACCCAGUUAAUACACUAACAAAUUGAAAUGUACACUUUAAAUGAGUGAAUUAAAUAAUGUAUAAAUUACAUCUCAAUGAACUUGUGAAGAAAGUUAAAAAAUAUGUGAUGCAUACACAGAUACACAAAAACUUAUCGUAUUUUUUUAUUUCCAUAGGUUUUUGGGGAACAGGUGGUGUUUGAUUAUAUGAGUAACUCCUUUAGAGGUGAUUAGUGAGAUUGUGGUGCACCCAACACCUGAGCGGAAUACGCUGUAUCCAAUUUGUAGUCUUUUAUUCCUCACCCACCUCCCACCGUUUCCCCCAAGUCCCCAAAGUCCACUGUAGUAUUCUAAUGCCUUUGCAUCCUCAUAGCUUCGCUCCCACUUGCGAGUGAGAGCAAACUGUGUUUGGUUUUCCAUUCUUAAGUUACUUGACUUAGAAUAGUAAUCUCCGAUCUCAUCCA
rnacentral:lncRNA from 10 species